rnacentral:rRNA from 1 species
CAGUUCGGAUUGUAGUCUGNAACCCGACUACAUGAAGCUGGAAUCGCUAGUAAUCGCAGAUCAGAAUGCUGCGGUGAAUACGUUCCCGGGUCUUGUACACACCGCCCGUCACACCAUGGGAGUUGGAAAUGCCCGAAGCCAGUGACCCAACCGUAAGGAGGGAGCUGUCGAAGGUGGAGCCGAUGACUGGGGUGAAGUCGUAACAAGGUACC